rnacentral:rRNA from 1 species
CCUACGGGGGGCAGCAGUGGGGAAUAUUGCACAAUGGGGGAAACCCUGAUGCAGCGACGCCGCGUGAAGGAAGAAGUAUUUCGGUAUGUAAACCUCUUUUGCCGGGGAGCAAGCCUGAGCACGUGUGCCCAGGCGGAGAGUACCCGGAGAAAAAGCAUCGGCUAACUCCGUGCCAGCAGCCGCGGUAAUACGGAGGAUGCGAGCGUUAUCCGGAUUUAUUGGGUUUAAAGGGUGCGCAGGCGGGCUGUUAAGCCGGCGGUAAAAAUUCAGGGCUCAACCCCGUCGA